rnacentral:tRNA from 1 species
AAGUAAGGUGCCUGAAAAAAGGACAAUUUUGAUAGAAUUGAUCAUGUGGCCCCCACUCUUGCU